UGGUUUCUAUCGUCGGUAGAGCAGAGGACUGAAAAUCCUCGUGUCGGCAGUUCGAUUCUGUCCCAGGCCA
rnacentral:tRNA from 1 species